rnacentral:rRNA from 1 species
AGAGCGAACGCUGGCGGCAGGCCUAACACAUGCAAGUCGAACGGACCCUUCGGGGUUAGUGGCGGACGGGUGAGUAACACGUGGGAACGUGCCUUUAGGUUCGGAAUAGCUCCUGGAAACGGGUGGUAAUGCCGAAUGUGCCCUUCGGGGGAAAGAUUUAUCGCCUUUAGAGCGGCCCGCGUCUGAUUAGCUUGUUGGUGAGGUAAUGGCUCACCAAGGCUACGAUCAGUAGCUGGUCUGAGAGGAUGACCAGCCACAUUGGGACUGAGACACGGCCCAAACUCCUACGGGAGGCAGCAGUGGGGAAUCUUGCGCAAUGGGCGAAAGCCUGACGCAGCCAUGCCGCGUGUAUGAUGAAGGUCUUAGGAUUAGUAAAAUACUUUCACCGGUGAAGAUAAUGACUGUAGCCGGAGAAGAAGCCCCUGCUAACUUCGUGCCAGCAGCCGC